GGGAGGAUGGCUUAGCGGUCUAAAGCACUGGAUUAAAACUUCAUUCUCUGCACCUGCAUGGGUUCGAAUCCCAUGGCUGCUA
rnacentral:tRNA from 1 species